GGAGGGGUGGCAGAGCGGCUUAAUGCGGCGGUCUUGAAAACCGUUGUCCCUAACAGGACCGGGGGUUCAAAUCCCUCCCCCUCCG
rnacentral:tRNA from 1 species